rnacentral:rRNA from 1 species
AACGCGAAGAACCUUACCUGGGCUCGAAGCGCAGUGGACCGGGAUAGAAAUAUCCCUUCCCCUUAAAAGGCUGCUGCGGAGGUGCUGCAUGGCUGUCGUCAGCUCGUGUCGUGAGAUGUUGGGUUAAGUCCCGCAACGAGCGCAACCCUUAUCCCUAGUUGCCAUCGGGUCAAGCCGGGCACUCUAGUGAAACCGCUUCGGAUAACGGAGAGGAAGGUGGGGAUGACGUCAAGUCCUCAUGGCCUUUAUGUCCAGGGCUACACACGUGCUACAAUGGCCGGUACAAACCGUCCCAAACCCGCGAGGGGGAGGCAAUCGGAAAAAGCCGGCCUCAGUUCGGAUUGGAGUCUGCAACUCGACUCCAUGAAGCUGGAAUCGCUAGUAAUCGCGGAUCAGAACGCCGCGGUGAAUACGUUCCCGGGCCUUGUA